GAUGAAGAACGUAGCGAAAUGCGAUAAGUAGUGUGAAUUGCAGAAUUCAGUGAAUCAUCGAAUCUUUGAACGCACAUUGCGCCCCUUGGUAUUCCAUGGGGCAUGCCUGUUCGAGCGUCAUUUGUACCUUCAAGCUUUGCUUGGUGUUGGGUGUUUAUCUCGCCUUUGCGUGUAGACUCGCCUUAAAAUAAUUGGCAGCCGGCGUAUUGAUUUAGGAGCGCAGUACAUCUCGCGCUUUGCACUCAUAACGACAGCGUCCAAAAGUACAUUUUACACUCUUGACCUCGGAUCAGGUAGGGAUACCCGCUGAACUUAAGCAUAUCAAUAAGCGGAGGA
rnacentral:misc_RNA from 1 species